AGAAGUAUGUUUUGUCUGCUAAGAUAGUCUUGGUUAACGUAUCUAUGUAUCAUUUGUGUGCAUGAAAUGACACGUGCUGGUCAUAUUUGAAUUUUUUGUCUGCUUUAUAAGGAAAGGUUUUUCAAAUAAGUUUGUUUUUUCAACUGACAUGACUGAUGGUUAUGGUAGAAUAUAUGAAUACAACUUGGAGACUAGAAACAUAUCAUAUCUAUUAACAAAUCUACAGAGCGACGUGUAUUCGAUCACUUACGAUUAUAACAAUGGAUAUAUCUAUUUUCCAAGACUACACAAGAACGAAAUACAGAAAUUUCAGUAUCCAUGAGAACAACCCUACACAUUAGAGUUUGUGACUGAUGCAGCUCAACCAAUAGAUGUUGCCAUUGAUCCAUUAUACGGCCAUGUGUAUUGGACUGAAUAUAAUGAUUGAAAUAUUUAUAGAUGUAAUUUAGAUGGAUCUGAUAAAUCACCUGUCCUCAAUGAUGAUCCACUCUUUGCUCUAACUCCAGACUAUCGGAACAGUUUUUUUUAAUCCAUUUUUAAUGAAUAUUAAAAAGACUCCACUUCACUUCAGAGAACGCUCAAGCAAACCAUUAGAUAAAAAUUGCAUAAAAUCUUGAACAGAUUAGUGGAUAUAUGACACUCAGGAACCUAAAUCAAAUUUAUCUUAGGUCAACUUAAAUUGAGGAUGUUGGAACCUUAUUGUGUUGAUCAAUAUAAAUGAUUUUUUUAAUGGUUAAUUUUACUAUAACGAUAAAGUAUGCUUCGGUGUUUUUUGCUGUUCAUGUACUGAUAAAGUGUCAUGGAUGUUUUUCUAUUAAACGAAAUGCUAAUUUUUAUGCACUAACUUUUGAAAAGAUGAAAUCGUAAUGAACUAACAGGCAAGUGUAUUUAUCAAAUGCUAAUAAAUCAAUAAAAAUGAUAACUGAUAUGCUUUCUAUUUUUAUCGAUAAAAACACAAAUCUCCUAGCAGGAACUAAUCUAACACUGAUAUUUUGUCUUUUUGUUUUUGUUUAUUGUUAUAGAUCUAAUAGUAAAUUAAGUAACGCAGGUUUAAACAUGUUAUGCUAUAGAACCUGGAAUGAAACGUCCGUAAACACCUAAAAUUAUAAAACAAAAGGUAUUAAAAGAUUCAUUUCAUAAGAAAUACUAGCGUUUUGAGAAGACUUUCAAGCAUUUGAAAAUAUAGGUGCACAUUGUGUUUUGUUCUGUGUUAUAUUACACAAAUAUCACUAGAUUCAUAAAGUGGUGUUUCAAUGUUCUUCCUUUUAAAUCAAAAUUGUAGGUGGUUGUAUUAUAAUACAACACUAACGACAAAAAGAAGUAUACGACGAUCACGAUUGGAUGGUAUUGAAAAUCAAACAGUGAUUGAGGAAGAAGCUUCGGAUUUGAUUAUAGAUUUCAACGAAGAAAGACUUUACUGGAUGAACUUCAAGACAGGUGAUUUGAAAUAUUCAUAUUUAAACGGAACUAAUGACAGGAAAGUGUUCGGCACGAAUACGACCAUAAAAAACGUAGGCAUCUAUGUACUUGAUAGCGAAAUAUACUGUGUAAAUUUUAAUCAUAUACUCAAAGUCACAUAGCCAUUAGUCACAUCAGCGAGUGUCAUAUACGCAGGUACCAAAAGAAUAUAUGGUUUACUUGCAUAUAAGGAAAAACGUAAGUACUUGCAUAGACAUUUACGCAACUGUAGUUUACUCGUUCUAUUUCUGAAAUUAAUUCUAACAUAACUUUUGAUUUUUUUAACCCUGUAUACCAACAUUCCCCAUGUGAAAUUAUAAAAUUGUUUUGAAUAAACGUUGAACGACAAAAUUUCUUCUUAUGUGACGUUUACACUUUCUGACGUCAGAGACGCGAAGCAAUGAAUGUGGUUUUUAAUUUGAUAGAUGCUUUUGUGCUUUUUUGUAAAUGAUUGUAUGUUUUGAUAUUGUAACACAGUGAUGACUGCUGUACCCAUAUUUUGACUACUUUAUUUAUUUUGUCUGUUUUGUUCACGCAUUGUUGUAAAUAUAACGGAAUUUGAUGAGACUGUCGUACAAGUGAGAGGUUUAGCGCUAUAAAACCAGGUUCAAUCCACCAUUUUCUACAUUUGAAAAUGCCUGUACCAAGUCAGGAAUAUGACAGUUGUUGUCCAUUCGUUUGAUGUGUUUUGUCAUUUGAUUUUGCCAUGUGAUUAGGGACUUUCCGAUUGAAUUUUCCUCGGAGUUCAGUAUGUUUGUGAUUUUACUUUUUACCGCCGUUCAAAUCUCUCAAUUUGAUGAGGAAUAAAAGUCAAGGCAGCAAACACAAAGUGAUGGAAUCGCGUGAUCUACAAAAUGAGCCAGACAUAUUGCAUCGACAGGGUAAGCGUCUCCUUCAAUACAUGUAAUAUAUAUAUAUAAACAUUAAUACACUACCAUUUAUUUCACUCUCAAAAUUGAAAUGGAAAUGCACCGCAAAUGUGUUUCUUUAUUGUAUCUGUUUUGAUAAGAAAAUUUACCAAUAAACACAUAUUAGAAAUAUUUUUAAAUAUAAAAAUAAGCUAAAUUGAAAAAAUGAUAUCUGCAUUAACAGUUGUAUUAAGUAUGUGUCUAGCGAUAAACUAUUGAAUAUAUAAUGUUUAUUGAUUUUGCUCGUUUGUUUGUUUUCAAAGCGUCUGUCAAUGACCAUGGCUUUAUCGUGGGAGUUAGUCUAAUGCAGCAAACUUUUGUUUGUUACUAUAGCAUGUAUAUGACAAUGUAAUUGUUAUGUUUCUAUCUGUAUACAGUUUUAAACUCAAUACUAGUACAUGUAAUAGUUAGAAUUGUAGCAAUGCUUACUUCUUGUCGCUUUCAUGUAUAUGAUAAUAUGACUACAGUGUUAUCAAAUGACACACUACCAUGCACACCCUAUAUAAAUAUAAAUUUUCAACUAUGUACAGAAAUCAGCAAUCAUUAUAAGUGUUAUUUAGAAGCGAACGGCGUCAACAUUCUGCUAAAUUGAAUUUGUUCAAGUCGACACAAUUACAUACACACUAGGGAACACAUUUUGAGCGACACACACACAGAAACAUGCGUUGAGGGACUAUAAAAAAAACAUUUAUUAUGUCAGUGCAUUUUGACUUCACACAUACAACAGUCAGAUUAUACACGUAUUUGAUAGUACAUAUUACAAUUGUUAUCAUACAUUUAUAAUACAAAACUAGUUUUUUACGUUCUACAUGUAUCUUGUACUAACGAAGCUGCUUCGUCUCGCUAGUUUAAACCUAUAGCAUGUUUAACGAUACGGUUCUAUUCCGUAUUGUAUGAUGUUCCUGUUUGUUAAUUUAAUUCAAUUUAAAUCAAAAUAAACAUAUCCUAUUCAAAAAAUAACUGAAAUGGAUUGAAUACCAGAAUGAUAAAGCCUUUAUACAUCCUCUCCAAGAUAAUUUAAACAUUUAAAUAACAUGAUUCAAUUUCAAAUCAAUUACAUAGUGUGGAAAAGAAAAUAAUUGAAAUUCAUGUAACAGGUCUUGACCAUUAAUAUGAUCUUUAAUAGUGAUCUAUUUCUUCUGAUACUUUGUUUCUAUAUUUUGCUUAAUUCAUUCAAAUAUAUUACAUGACAGUUGUUUUCAGUGUCACAAUUGCAUUGUUACUCUUAUCUAGUAGUAAAUAACAAUUAUCCGCUUGAUUGCAUUGAUAUUGAGGUGAGUAAUAAUUUCUUUUCAACUUGUUAAUAACAGUUUGCACGAUUGUAAAUUAAAUAUGUGUGCAUACUAUCCAAAACGACAUAAAAUAUAUUUCAAGCUAAACCAUAAAUGUACAACAAAAACAAAAACAAAAUAUGUUGGCUAUAUAUAUAGUUCACACGUUAUUAUCUUCGUCAGUUUUAUCUUCAUGUAAUGCAGUUUAUUAAUUGAAAAAUCUGUUUUCUUAAUUGACUCUUGAAGUGUUAAAUUAUUUUAUACAAAUAACAUGUAUCAACAAUGAAAAAAUUAACUUAAGUACUAGUAUACACAUGUUUACAUAAUGCUGAAGCGCUCUUUACAAAAAAAAAAACCAACAACGCAGUAAAAUUUGAUGUGUGUGAUAAAAUCGAUCACGAUUAAGCAUUCAGUAAACACAAAACACAGAACAGAACAGAACAGUCGACUGGAAUUAUAAAGUAAAAAAAUGGGCAAUCACUUAGAUUAGAAGCAAUUUUUAUAUUCCAAAAAAGUAUUUGAUUUCCUCAUUUAUAAACAAAUGUCAUCGCAAAAAUACCGAACGUCAGAGUAUAUUCAAAACGUAGAAGUCAAGAACAACCGAAAAAAAAAAGAAAUCCUCGACAAUAUCCUUCGACGGAAAGACUGAAAAACAAUUGUUGUAUUCCUGACAUGAUACAGGGUAAAAUGGUGGGGGUAGCACAGAUUUAUAACUAGCGUAACUUCCUAUUUGUAUUACAGUUGUAUAUAGUUUAGUUCCGUUAUUUUGAUAAAAUUGUGUAAGCAACGCACACAGAAAUUACUGGUUAAAAUGACAGUAACUGGGAUAAAUGAUAAAGUAAUAUAUUGUUUUGCAUUUGAUAUACUCGUUGUAUUCUAUGUAUAGGAAAUGCAACUCUGAAAAAAACGUUGUCCAGUUCAAAAAGAAGCACACUCGGAGGAACUGAAUACAAUACAUUUAGAUGGCAAUUUCCUUCCAAUUUAAAUAGGUUCCUUUACCAUGUUAACCUAAAGACAUACAAACUAGAAUAUAAAAGUACACUAAAUGUACGUAACUGUACGCAAAAUUGUGUCGUAGAACGAUCGAAUGUUAGACUAACGUAUGUUAACGUUAGUGUAAAAGUUCCUCGAUUAUACCUGUAUUAUCAUUUGACUUCAUUUAUACAAGUUAAAAGAAGAGAACUGUGAGAGUAAAGAAGACCUGUAUUAAAAAAGAGGGGCGAAAGAUACCAGAGGGACAGUCAAACCCAUAGAUCGAAAAUAAACUGACAACGCCAUGGCUAAAAAUAAAAAGACAAACAAACAAAUAAUAGUACACAAGACACAACAUAGAAAACUAAAGACUAAGCCACACGAACCCCACCAAAAACUGGGGGUGAUCUCAGGUGCUCCGGAAGGGUAAGCAGAUCCUGCUCCACAUGUGGCAUUCGUCGUGUUGCUUAUGUUAUUACAUAUCCGGUAAAUAGUCUAAUUCGGUAAGUCACAUUCGUGGUGAAAAAGGAAGUGGAUUGUAAUCUACGACAUAAGGAACAUAUCCGAUAUCAUCUGUGAAACGGUUAUUCCAUAACGGUCAACCAACACGUGAUGGCGUCCGUAAAAUUUACGAAGGGAUGAUUUCAGCUUCACCAUUUGGAACUCUUGGUUUAAUAGCUUCAAUUAUACGCUAAGUUCGCUUUUUACGAAGGCUUUGGUAAUUUGUGCCAUCGGUCUGUUUGGCUCCCCAUUGACUAUUUGACAAAUUUACAUACCUGUAGAUCUAGGCUGAUAUGCAUAAAACCACUUAUGUUAAGAUUUUCAAUCGUAGUACUGAUUUAUCGUAGGACAUGUAGAAAAACCGUCCGUUCGGAACAAAUCUUUGCUCAAGUAGUUUUAUGCAUAUCAGACCUGACAUGGAAGCAUAUUUGUUUUUAAUCAUAGGUCUAUGUUGUCACAAAAGCAAAAAGCAGUUUCAGCAUAACAUUUCAGAUAAUUUAAUUCAACACUAUAUAAUUAUAUCGAAACAAGAUACACGAAGAGCAACAUGAAAAAAAACCAAAAAAUCCUAAUAUAAAACACCAUCAUAUACUGACACAAACCAAUUUAAGGAAUAUCCAUGAUAAAAUAUACACCAAUUAAAACAUCGUAUUACAGAAUUCCUGUCAUAUCUAACUGUCGCAAUAAACAGAGAUGAAAGGAUAAGCAUACCAAAUCACGGUCUGUAUCUUAUCUAGGGUUUUGAAAUUGAGUUAAAGUCAGAAUAACAAGUCUUGUAAUACUUGUGGAAUGCCACAAUUGCUGAAAUAUCCACAUUAUCUUAGCGAAACUACAUAACGUAAAAGUAUCGAUUGUAUACGUUUAUGGCAUUUUACAUCUAACCAAGAAUCCUUUUUUUUUGUGUAAUUGUUGACACAGCAUACGUGCAUUAAGUUGUAAGUGCUUAUAAAACUAAUUUUGAUUGUAUAUGUGUUUUUUAAGAUUAACAGAUACAGAUCGAAAGUGCAUUGAUAGAAUGGAAAAAAAAAUAUGGCUUUUUCUUUCUAGAAAAAGAGAGACAAUGCUGCGAUGUAGACCAAUAUUUCUGUGACAAAUAAAUGCAAAAAAGACAUUGUCAAAAUAUUUAUAAUAAUAAAAAAGUUCAGAAAUUAAUCUGGCUUAAAAAAUAAGACCGUUGCAUGGUAAACUCAAAAUAUGUAUGUGAUGAAAUAUUCUGUCUUUAAUUCGUUAUUACACAUGUUGAUAUUUCACUCAUUUCCUUGUAAUAUUGGCGACCAAAAUAUAUCAUGCAAAAUAAAUAAAAAUAAAUUUGAAUCUA